UCGGCGGACAUGGUCAAGCGGCAGACAGGAGCGAGGAGUGUGGGGCUGGAAAGGCGAAGGACCACAGGACGACGUGGCCGGCUCGGUUCUCUCGCUCGCUCUGUGAGCCACAAAAAAUUCCUUUGAAUUGCGUCCGUUGCAGCAGGAGCACACAAACACGGCGACAUGUAUUUUCCGCAUUUUUUGUUGCCUUCUGCCUGUGGCUAUGCGCAAAAAAGGACAUCUCCGCCGGCGGUGGCAGGAUGACGGUGGUCCACAGGAUCGGUGGCUCGCUGGUUCGGAGUUGAGCAAUAUUUAUAAACUGGCCGAAAAAAAGGAGCGGGAGGUGCCGGAGAGGAGCAGGAGAAGCAGGAGGAGGCUGAUGCGGGGGUCAUGGUGCAUGAUGCAUGCCCAAUGGCUUUAUUUCCGGGUGACCGUGUAAAACGUGCUCGUGGUUUGCAGCUUAUUAAAUGAGCUAUUUGAUUAACAUUGUUCGGCGGGGCUCGUUGUUACGCUAAUGAAAGGACAAAAGCGAAUAUUUGGACUGCGAGGCACAAAGGACACAGGCCCGAAGCCAUUUUACAGGACAAUUCAGAAAAACAUUUAUAAUGCAGAGCAUGUUUUAUAUACCAUGCAUGCAAGGAAGCUAUGCAUUUAUAUUUGAAAUACGUAAAGUGAAAGCAAGGCACAAAGUCACAGGAAGACUUAGUAUUGAUUUCCAUAUUAUCUUAAUCUAAUUUAACAGAUUACUCAACUUAUAUAAUCUGUUAAGAAUAAUCUUAUCCUCGAGAUUGACUUCAACGUGGCCCUAGCCUUUUGUAAUAUGCAAUUAACUUCCCACAAACAACAAUGUUCAUAAACAUCGGGCAAUUCAAACAUUUCUACAUUAAUCGAAAUUGUACAAUUUACUCUGCCACUCAAUUACUUUGUUUUUCUUUGGCAGCUUAUUAAAUGCCACAUUCUGCAUGCCCAGGAGCGAGGACUCAGCAUCUGUUGAUGUUUGCACGGGCGAAACACCUUGGAGUCCUGGGGAAAACCGCACGAGCCCGACCAGAUGAUGAUCUAAUUGAAUGACAAUAUUAUGCCAGGCCUAAUUCAAUUUGCAUUCCUUGGGAAGAGGAGCAGGUGGAGGAGCUGGGCUGAGGGACACGGGCUGAAUCUUAAACAAACACGGCAAUUACUGCCGACGGAUGCACUUGUCUGGCCAAAUGACUUGGUCCUGUAAUUAGCCCGGGGAUGAAAGGAUGCGGGCUGGGUUCCCGUUUUUCGGCCCUUGGCCCUUUGUCGGCCUCCUCGGGGGUCCGCCUAAUUAUCACAUUUUUACUCAUUAAAUUCACAUUUGCCUGUUUUUUUUCGUUGCUUUUCCCCUUUUUUGGCAGGUCCUGCGCGGAUCCUGCUGUCUAAUUACAGGCUUUGAGCCGCCCUGGCCACCGAAUGAUGAUUGAUUGAGGGAGUAGUAGUAGUAGUAGCCUCGUAAAAUCAUACCACAUAACUUCCCCGCUUAACUCAUUUCCAUUCCAGGUGACAUCUGCCCAAGCGCGUGCCAUGCCAAGGUGCUUCGAGGAAAGUGCAAACAGCAGAUGUAAUGGAUAUGGAAAAGCAAAUCGAAAACUGAUUUGGAGCGGAAGUUCGUUUGCACCUUUCUGCAGUUUCCUGCCAGAACAAUAAACAUCCACAAUCCGCAGCUACAGCCACUUCCAUUCCAUACCCACAAUCGCAAUCAGAAUCGCCGAGUGUUCCAUAUAGUGCCACGACUUGUCUUGGCCUUUGACGCCGUCUUUUGUACUCAGUGAGUUGAGUUCAGAUGGCAUGGAGAUGGAGAUGGAAGAUGGAGCUGGAGGUGAAGUCACCGCCCGUUGGCUUUUGAAUGAGCUGCAAAUCAAAAGCUAUACGCGAUUUCACACACAGUACGGAUUAAGGAUAUGCGUGUGCACGCAGAAAAAUAUUUGAUGGGUUAUGAGUGUAAAAAUAAUGUAACUGGCAGGAUUGAUAUAUGACCAAGUUCCUCCUGGUCAUAUUAUACCCAAAAUCUUGAAAAACUGAACGACUUUUGCUCAUGCUAACUGCAAGGAAGGACCAAGGAUCCCCGGCAGCUGCUCCUUCGGAACGCUGUAUUUGAUUUGCGAUUCGAGGCUGGCGGAAAUGGAAUGGCACGCGAGGCACUCGUACUUUGUUUGACGAUUGGCAAAAAUGCUGCCUCCAUUGCCCGACAAAAAACAGAAGGAACAGAGGGACCAAGGACCCGCCAGCCGUAAGAGACUUCCACUUGAGCCGCACGCAUUGUUUGCCCUGCGAACCGAAGGGGCGUGCUUGGAAAUCGGAUAUAGGAUCGCUCGUUCGGGACAAUCAAAUAGCGCAGCGGAGUUUUCCAACCCACUGAGCAGCCGCAAUCGGCGGCGAAUCAGCUGCCUAUGGCCUGCCUCCAAGAAGAGUCUACGGCGAUGAGGUGCCAACCCGAGCCACGCGUGUCCCGUGUCCUAUGGCCAAUGGUCAAUGGUCAAAAUUGGACACUGGCCGUCUCAUUAGCGCACCAAAGGCUGGAGGGUUAAUGAUGCGCACCCCGUGCUUGGGCUUCCGUCCCCCACUCCACGCCACUCCGCCUCCCGGCAAUUAUGCGACGCACUUGAGCUUGAAGGGCCUCGAAGGUGAGGAGUACACUUGGACAAAUCGAACAACAACUGGUGCACUACAUAAAAGUUUCAUAUAAUUAAUGUUGCUUACUCAAUCGUUUGACAUACGACUUGGAAAUUCUUAAAAUAAGUAAGUAAGCGGCACUUCCACGUAGUCUGAAUAAGUAGUUAGGAAUUAUAAGCACAUACUUGUACUUGAACUCCUGUUUUUUCGAGUGUACGCGUAGGAGGACUGCAGUGGCCAUUCAUUGACCCCGUCUGUGUAGUAGCUCGGGUUUUAUGGUGUCGUCGUAAAUGUCAGGUGCGCACCCCAUUUAAAUUUAUUCAACGUAAUUAGUUGUCUCCCCAUAAAGUGCCUGUAAGUCUGCAGUGUGUGGUGCCAGUGCACGAAUCUAAUUUGAUUGCCAACUGAAAACUACAAGUGUUAGGGGAUUACGAUGAAGUGCUUCCGCCCGGGCCCGAAAAAUUCGAUUUCCCCUUUCGAAGAUAAAUUUUUGUGGCGCGGAUUAAACGACACAUAAACCAUAUAAAUGGGACGCAACACACCUGCAGGUGGAAAACAUGCAAAAACGAUAAUUGCGAGAUAUGCGAACGGGACAUGACGCCGCAGGAUGCCAAACGAGCUGCUCCAUCCCGCCGGCGCUCCAGUUGGGUCACCAUUCUCGCCUCGGUUAUCGGUGAAUUCCGUGACGAUGGCAAAAAUAUUGCAACGCAGCCAAAAGGGGCGGAAAAGGGCUGGCGGGGAAGCAGGCGGUCUGGGUCCUGGUCCAUUUCGUGUGCACGUCGUUAUCCUUGCCCCGGAUGCACAACAAUCAAAAUAAACGGCUGCCAAAUUGACCAUUGACCAAACAUCGUCAGCAGGGAACGGCGAGGAGGUGCCGACGACCAUGCAGCAGGAUGUGCGGGCGGCCAAGGACCUCCAGGGGCAAGGGUGCGAACUGAAGCACUGGAUAGCGACAUCAUCUUUGGCCCCGUCACGUCCACUCUCUGCUCCGUUCAGGAGUCAAGCAGCCAUCUCGAAAUAAACAUGAAAUGCUCUUGUUUUUGUGCAGCGGGAAAACGAUUAAAGGUAAAAGUGGAGAGAACUAGCACAUUUCUAUUGGGAACCGAAUCCAAGGUGUUCCUUGCAGGCUGUUAAAGCAAGGACAUGGAAACUAGACACAGGUCAACCCAUUCCUCAGAAUGUAAUCAAAGAAAUCAAUUCAGGUGUGGAAUUAAAAUUCAUUGUAAUGCUAUACCGAUAUCGUUUAAGCCAGAAAUAUGUGUAAUGGGCCAUAAUUGAUACCCUAUAAGCCAGAUGCCGACCAGAGUUAGUAACUGCCGCUACAUAAUUAACCAGAAAUGUUCGCUCAUCUCGCGUCCCCACUCGAUUUACGAUAUUAUUGCAGAAUAAUGAAAUCGCCAAGAGAUUCCAAUUCAAUCUACGCGCCUCAUAAUGGCGUAGGCCAUUUAUGGAUUGGCAUUGAUUUAAUACCGCGUCGCGAGAGAUCGCCUCCAGGUUCGGUUCCCCCGAGUCCGAGGCGCAAGGCAUUUUGCACCUACUUCAGGCCCAAGACGUCCAAGUCGCGCUCGCGGCUCCAAAGUCCGCAUCUGAUCUGAUUCCGCCGCCUAUCGCUCCCCAAGAUCAGCGGCGCAGACGCCACCUCGUCGGAUGCUGCAUCGGCGGGCAGGAGGGCAUCGCAGCACUCAGGAAAAAUGCACCUCAGAACGGAAGAUUCUCAUUUCGAAAGUACAAAUUCAAAUAUAUUGUCGAAUGCUCCUCCAUAAAAUCCCUCUAAGUACUAGUGAAUUCUAAUUCCGAAUCAAUAAUGUAAAUUAUUUUGUGGACGCAGUUUCAGAUUACUUGCUGUGCCCACAGAUACCACUACUAUUACUUGCUCAUCAACUGCGAGGCGACGACUGAAAGGAUUUUUUCUGAAUGCACUGCUCCAAUGUUUAUUCAAUAAACCCGAUCUGAGAUGCAGCGCGCCAGGAGGAGGAGCGGCAGAACAGCAGCUGGCUGGCUGGCUGACUGGCAUUCCUGCGAGAAGCAACCGUUGAGCAGUGCUGCAGUUGGCCCAUUCAAGACAAGCCGCUGGAAUUUCUUGGUGCGUGCUCGGCACAGGCACAGUCCCAGUCCCAGUCGCAGUCACAGGUUGGGGCUCGGAAUCGGAUUCAGCUGGUCUGCCAGCGUCUGCCAGCUGCGCCUCCUGAUUAUGAUAAUGGCAGUUGGACUGGACCGGAUCGGGCUGGAUCGGGCUGGACCGGGACAAGCACCAGGCUGGGCCACGACGGACCGCUCAGCUCAUCCCACUGGCCGGCCAGUUGUGCGCAAUUGCUUUCGUUUAUGAUCGAAUGAUCGAAUGCCUGGCAGCUCCGUUGACUUUCUGAUUAAUGCAAGAAUGCUCCUUGGCGGCGUUCCUGCUUUUUGCCCGAUCCCACCACCACUGACUGCAAUUAAAAGUGGAUACCUCGCACUAAAAAUUGGACGAAGGCAGGACUGGACAUAUCCACGCCAAAGACAAGAUCUUUUCAACUGAAUACCACCAAGAAUUGUCCAACUACUCGGUAUAUACUUUCGGCUGAAACCCAAACCAAGUUAAUCCCAGAUAAGAGCAUUCCCAGUUCGCCUUCGUUCGCGGUGCCACAGAUUGAUUUGAUUCCUGACCGGCUGCCGUCGCCUGCUGUGCCUGAUGUCCGAUGUCCGAUGGCUGGUCGAGAGUCGGGGAAUAGGAAUGGGAACGGGAAUGGGAAUGGGAACCCAAGUGGCGGCCAGAUGCAGACUGGGCCGAGGAAGACAAACGACAGUCGCCAGCGCGCCUCGUGCCUCCAGUUGUCAUAACGUUCAACACGUCGUGCCCCUCGGUGGCGUCUUGCGUCUUGCGCCUUGCGGACCACGUCCUCGCCGCGUCCACAUGCCCGACUUCUGUGCGCUGCCAUAAAAGGAUUUGUCACGUGCGAGCUUUUGUUGGAAAUGCAACAAUCAUCAGCCUGCAUUAUGCAUGGCGCAUUGCCAGGUUGGACAUCGCAUCGCGGCAUUCCUGGAUUCCUGGCGAUCCCUCCGCCAGGUCCUGGUUAAUAUGCCCUCCCGUCCGGCAGAUCAUUGCAAUUUAUAAUUAAGUGGAAAUAUGUUGUCUACGAUGGCAACAAGGAUCUCAGAUUGCUGGCGCAGAUAUGAAUGGCUCGCAAAGGAGGGACAGAGAGGGAGAGAGGGAAACGGAGCCCUCAAUUGGAAUAACAAAUGCAUUAGCAGGCCAAACAAGGACCUAAUAAUGUCCUCGCCGGGGGAAUGUGAAUGGAAAUCCAUUGUGCAAAGAAUGGCCCGGGUCUCAUCCGCAAUUACCGUUAGGCACACACACACACACAGGGGCAAAUGAGGACACGUCGGCCUGGCUAAUUCAUGACUUUAAGGACACUUUGGCAAACAAUCGAACGGCCAAGGCGAAGGAAUAUUCACAGUGCAAUUGAUUAUGCAUGAGUGUUUUGUCGUGUGCGGUUUGUGUGCGUGCCAAUCAACUGGGUAGAAUCAAUCAAAAUGCAAUAGGAUUGCCCUGCCAAUCAAAGGCAAAGCCGAGAAAAGCGCUUCCAUCGCUCGCAGAAGUCACCUCUGCGGCCCACUCCCCCCCAGUUGCACAGCUCAAGUCCAAGGCAGCCAGAUCCUGGCCAGUAUUUUCGGACCACAUCAGGACAAAUAGCCAGUGCCCAGGUAACCAGGACAAACACUCAAAUGCCUGGCGAAGCGUGGCGAAGGAAGCAAACGAGACGUGGGCUUACAUACAGAAAAACUAUGGUCUAACUUUUUUCACAAUCGAUGUCCUUAGUAUCCUUUAAAUAACUUAAUCCGCAGUGUAUUUCAUUCGGAACAAGUGUAAGCGUAAGCGGCGCAUUUAUUUGCCAAGCGCACUUUUUGCAUUUGCCAAACAAGAGUGCGGCUCCUGCCAGGACGAGGCCUUGUCCUCCGUCUGUUUGAACACGAGCCUACACUUCGGACCUCGUCCUGGGUGAGUACUUUGCACCUGUGUUUGCACUUAAAUCGAGUUUGCCGUUGAUGAGCAGCCCGGGACAAAUAGACGCACGGCAUGGGUGCUUUGGGUACUUUGGUUACUUGGCCAGUGACCACCGGCGAUUGUAAUUGCGGCACUCGGCACACUCACCACAUUCACAAAGUCCUGGAACGUCACGUAGCCGGGUCCUGUGGGCAGCUUCGCCUUCUUGGCCCGCUCCAGCAGCAGCUCCCGCUUGUUCAUAGGCACUUGGGACAGGAACUCCGGCGACUUGAGGGCCACGAGGAAUUCCUCGACGGAUAUUUCGCCAAAACCCUCGGGAUCGAACUGCAAAGCGGGGAAAGUAAUUACAAAUAAGUAUAAUUAUAAGUAUUCCUUCGGGGUCGGCUUACUCACCAUGUCAAAGAGCAGUUUCCAUUUCUGUAAGUAAAGUGAAGAAAGAAGGAAUUAUAAUAAGUAGCUCGAACAACUGGAUAUGCAGAGGUGGUCAGGAUUUUCGUAUUGGAACUCACAUCUCUUAGUAGCUCCCGUCGCAGCUCGGCCUCAUCGAAGUCCGAGUUCAGGGACGUGUGUUCCGUAUCAUAGCCGGCAUCAUUGGUGCAUUGCUGGGGAAUAUCAGAGUUAGGGACAUGAUCUUACAAGCACCUCCAGCUCCUUACGUAGCGCAUUUGGGUGUGCGAGAGGGAUCCAAUGGAGGCCAGGGAGCCGGCGAUGGUGGAUAUGUGCUCGAUGUCGGCCAGAGUCUCCUGCUGACUACUACCGCCGGCAUUUUGCUGGCUGGUUGGGAUUUCCAGGGCCCGCGAGCUUCCUCGCUCGGAGCCGGGCCACAUCCUGCAGUUCCUGGCUAUCCAGAUUUGGUUUUGGGAUCAGGGUGGAUCGUUGUGUCGUGGUUUGGCAGUGUUUGUAGCGAUUACAGUUUAGCUGCGGAAAAGAAAUUAUUAAGUGCUAUACUCCGACCUUGACUUCCUUGCUCUCUAGUUGAAAUCCAGUAUUGUAGAAAUUUAAAUAAUAAUUUGUUGCAAAAAUAGUUAAUAAAUAGCUGUUAUAUAUUUUUAAAAUGUUUGUUUUCGAAAUUCCCCGACUGGAGCCACUGUGCAGAGCUUUUCCAUCUCUUUACCCCAAAAGCUCUUUUGGACGCAGUUCAGUUUGGACGACAUAAAUUCCACCACCGAUUUGGUCGAGUGCGCUGAGAUGUCGAUUCUCACGCGCUCAUGAUUUUCGAGUGGCGGUUCGAGUGCCGCUGAGGUCGGGAUGAUAUGAAAUGUUCAUUCAUUUCGUUUUCUUAAUAAAUAUAUAUGUAGAUAUUUUCCGUUUGUUGGGGGGCCUGUGAAAUCAGUUUGUUGCAAUUUGACAUGACUGGAAUUGCUGCACUUUUCGCGGGCCCAGAGAGAUACUUCCGGAUAAUCAUAGGCUGCUGGUUUUCAAUACCAUAGCCUAUUUCAUGGCCGGCAAACAAA